rnacentral:pre_miRNA from 1 species
CUAUUGGUAGCCAUGAUGUUAUUUGCAAUAAAAUAUCAGUAAAAUGACAUUACUAAGAAUUUUAUUUUUACUGAAUGUCUUUUUGCAAAUUGACAAUGCUACUUGGCCCAUUA